rnacentral:rRNA from 1 species
AGUGAACGCUGGCGGUAGGCCUAACACAUGCAAGUCGAACGGCAGCACAGUAAGAGUUUGCUCUUACGGGUGGCGAGUGGCGGACGGGUGAGGAAUACAUCGGAAUCUACUUUUUCGUGGGGGAUAACGUAGGGAAACUUACGCUAAUACCGCAUACGACCUACGGGUGAAAGCAGGGGAUCUUCGGACCUUGCGCGAUUGAAUGAGCCGAUGUCGGAUUAGCUAGUUGGCGGGGUAAAGGCCCACCAAGGCGACGAUCCGUAGCUGGUCUGAGAGGAUGAUCAGCCACACUGGAACUGAGACACGGUCCAGACUCCUACGGGAGGCAGCAGUGGGGAAUAUUGGACAAUGGGCGCAAGCCUGAUCCAGCCAUACCGCGUGGGCGAAGAAGGCCUUCGGGUUGUAAAGCCCUUUUGUUGGGAAAGAAAAGCAGCAGGUUAAUACCCCGCUGUUCUGACGGUACCCAAAGAAUAAGCACCGGCUAACUUCGUG